UACGAAGGGGGCUAGCGUUGUUCGGAAUUACUGGGCGUAAAGCGCGCGCAGGUGGUUUUCCAAGUCAGUGGUGAAAGCCCGGAGCUCAACUCCGGAACUGCCAUUGAAACUGUGAAACUCGAGGACGAGAGAGGUGAGUGGAAUUCCCAGUGUAGAGGUGAAAUUCGUAGAUAUUGGGAAGAACACCGGUGGCGAAGGCGGCUCACUGGCUCGUAUCUGACACUCAAGCGCGACAGCGUGGGGAUCAAACAGG
rnacentral:rRNA from 1 species